AGGGCGGCAUGGCGGGUGUGGGCCAAGUGGACUUUAACAUGGGUGGGGUCCAUGUCCAGAGGUUUGAUAUUACUCACUUAAAUGAUAUUAAACUGGAAGUAGGGUUUGGAAAAUUGGGAGGGGAGGCUGGGAAGGGAGAGAGAGCAUAAGAAUGCAGACUCCAGAAAAUAGAGGCACAGCCCUGAAUCCGUGCACUUGACUUCAAAUAGGUUCCGUUUAUAAAGAACAUGCACUGAUGCUUUAUGUGCCCGAGUCACAGGCUCAGUCACUCAACAAAUAUUUACUGAGCACCAAUUUAGGGUCGGGCUCUGUUCCAAGGACUAGAGAACAAGACAGAUGGAAUCUGGGGGAAGCUUACAUUCUAGUGAAGGGAGACAGAUCACAAAAAAGUAAAGAAAUAACGGGAUCAAGUGAUAGACUGGAGAAGGAGAAACUUGAGCUGACAUCCGAGUGUCAGGAAGGAACCAACUGUGGGAAAUGCUGGUAAAGACAACGCAGGAAGGGAGAAGGGUAGAAGAUUCUAAUUCUUCUCACCAUCUGCCCUGCUCCAAUCCUAGUUCAAGUCACUGCCAGCUACUUCUCAAACACAGAGAAAGUCCGCAGACACACCUCUCCCACCUCUACUCUUACCCUGCUCCCCUCCCAGCAACGAGAGGAUUUCUUAGUUGUAAGUUAUCAAAACCAGCCUGGCCUAGCCUGCCCACCCCUGACUACACCAAUAGCUGGAAAGAGGAAAGACACAGCUUCUCAACUCAUACUGGGAGGCAGAUACCUGGAAUUAUGCACCCACCAAGACUACAUGCAGUGGGAGAGAUGUGGUUCCCCCAAAGAAGACGAGUCUGCUCUCAGGAUUCCGGGCAACAGUAAGCAACGUCCAGUAUAUUGUGUAACCUUACUAAAACUCUCUGAACCUCAGUCCCCUCAUAUUUAAUACCUACCUCUCAGAAUUAUAAGAAUUAAACAAAAUAGGGGCGCCUGGGGGACUCAGUCGAUGAAGCAUCUGACUCUUGGUAUUGGCUCAGGUCUUGAUCUCAUGGUUCGUGAGUUCUGGCCCCGCAAGACCCUCUGAGCUGAUGGUGCAGAGCCUGCUUGGGAAUGUUUCUCUCCUUCUCUCUGCCCCUCACUUGCUCGUGCUCUCUCUCUCUCUAUCAAAAUAAGUAAACUUAAAAUAUUUAAGAAUUAAACAAAAUAGCUCCUCUAAUGAAAAUUUAGAGUGCUUAGAGCAUAAAUAUUAUUUUAUAAAAUUUCUCUUUUCCUUUUCCUUUUGGC
rnacentral:lncRNA from 1 species